GCCCGGAUGGUGGAAUCGGUAGACACAAGGGAUUUAAAAUCCCUCGGCGUUCGCGCUGUGCGGGUUCAAGUCCCGCUCCGGUACCA
rnacentral:tRNA from 1 species